rnacentral:rRNA from 1 species
UACGUAGGGGGCUAGCGUUGUCCGGAAUCAUUGGGCGUAAAGCGCGUGUAGGCGGUCCGGUAAGUCCGCUGUGAAAGUCGGGGGCUCAACCCUCGAAUGCCGGUGGAUACUGGCGGGCUUGAAUCCGGGAGAGGGAUGCGGAAUUCCAGGUGUAGCGGUGAAAUGCGUAGAUAUCUGGAGGAACACCGGUGGCGAAGGCGGCAUCCUGGACCGGUAUUGACGCUGAGGCGCGAAAGCCAGGGGAGCAAACGGG